AGUAACACGUAUGCAACCUGCCUGCCACAGCCGGAUAAUCGGGAGAAAUUCCGUCUAAUGCGGCAUAAUGCAUCGACGGGACAUCCUGUUGGUGCCAAAGGUUGAUUCCGGUGGCGGAUGGGCAUGCGUCGCAUUAGUUAGUUGGCGGUGUAACGGACCACCAAGACGACGAUGCGUAGGGGUUCUGAGAGGAAGGCCCCCCACACUGGUACUGAGACACGGACCAGACUCCUACGGGAGGCAGCAG
rnacentral:rRNA from 1 species